rnacentral:rRNA from 1 species
UGAGGAAUACAUCGGAAUCUACUUUUUCGUGGGGGAUAACGUAGGGAAACUUACGCUAAUACCGCAAACGACCUACGGGUGAAAGCAGGGGAUCUUCGGACCUUGCGCGAUUGAAUGAGCCAAUGUCGGAUUAGCUAGUUGGCGGGGUAAAGGCCCACCAAGGCGACGAUCCGUAGCUGGUCUGAGAGGAUGAUCAGCCACACUGGAACUGACACACGGCUCCAGACUCCUACGGGAGGCAGCAGUGGGGAAUAUUGGACAAUGGGCGCAAGCCUGAUCCAGCCAUACCGCGUGGGUGAAGAAGGCCUUCGGGUUGUAAAGCCCUUUUGUUGGGAAAGAAAUCCAGCCGGCUAAUACCUGGUUGGGAUGACGGUACCCAAAGAAUAAGCACCGGCUAACUUCGUGCCAGCAGCCGC